rnacentral:rRNA from 1 species
GACGAACGCUGGCGGCGUGCCUAAUACAUGCAAGUAGAACGCUGAAGGAGGAGCUUGCUCUUCUGGAUGAGUUGCGAACGGGUGAGUAACGCGUAGGUAACCUGCCUGGUAGCGGGGGAUAACUAUUGGAAACGAUAGCUAAUACCGCAUAACAGUAGAUGUUGCAUGACAUUUGCUUAAAAGGUGCAAUUGCACCACUACCAGAUGGACCUGCGUUGUAUUAGCUAGUUGGUGGGGUAACGGCUCACCAAGGCGACGAUACAUAGCCGACCUGAGAGGGGGAUCAGCCACACUGGGACUGAGACACGGCCCAGACUCCUACGGGAGGCAGCAGUAGGGAAUCUUCGGCAAUGGACGGAAGUCUGACCGAGCAACGCCGCGUGAGUGAAGAAGGUUUUCGGAUCGUAAAGCUCUGUUGUAAGAGAAGAACGAGUGUGAGAGUGGAAAGUUCACACUGUGACGGUAUCUUACCAGAAAGGGACGGCUAACUACGUG